UACAGAGGUCUCAAGCGUUGUUCGGAUUCAUUGGGCGUAAAGGGUGCGUAGGCGGCGCGGUAAGUCGGGUGUGAAAUCUCGGAGCUUAACUCCGAAACUGCAUUCGAUACUGCCGUGCUUGAGGACUGGAGAGGAGACUGGAAUUCCUGGUGUAGCGGUGGAAUGCGCAGAUAUCAGGAGGAACACCGGUGGCGAAGGCGGGUCUCUGGGCCGACAUUGACGCUGAGGAGCGAAAGCGUGGGGAGCGAACAGG
rnacentral:rRNA from 1 species